AGCGAACGCUGGCGGCAGGCCUAACACAUGCAAGUCGAACGAAGUCUUCGGACUUAGUGGCGGACGGGUGAGUAACACGUGGGAACGUGUCUUUAGGUUCGGAAUAACUCAGGGAAACUUGUGCUAAUACCGAAUGUGCCCUUCGGGGGAAAGAUUUAUCGCCUUUAGAGCGGCCCGCGUCUGAUUAGCUAGUUGGUGAGGUAAAGGCCCACCAAGGCGACGAUCAGUAGCUGGUCUGAGAGGAUGAUCAGCCACAUUGGGACUGAGACACGGCCCAAACUCCUACGGGAGGCAGCAGUGGGGAAUCUUGCGCAAUGGGCGAGAGCCUGACGCAGCCAUGCCGCGUGAAUGAUGAAGGUCUUAGGAUUGUAAAAUUCUUUCACCGGGGACGAUAAUGACGGUACCCGGAGAAGAAGCCCCGGCUAACUUCGUGCCAGCAGCCGCGGUAACAC
rnacentral:rRNA from 1 species